rnacentral:rRNA from 1 species
GGCGUGCUCAGUGCGUCCGAGUUGUAAUCUAUAGAGGCGUUUUCCGUGCCGGACCGUGUCCAAGUCCCUUGGAACAGGGUAUCAAAGAGGGUGAUAAUCCCGUACUUGACACGACUACCGGUGCUCUGUGAUACGUCUUCUACGAGUCGAGUUGUUUGGGAAUGCAGCUCAAAAUGGGUGGUGAGUUCCAUCUAAAGCUAAAUAUUGGCGAGAGACCGAUAGCGAACAAGUACCGUGAGGGAAAGAUGAAAAGCACUUUGGAAAGAGAGUUAAACAGUACGUGAAAUUGUUGAAAGGGAAACGAUUGAAGUCAGUCGUGACCAGAGAGGCUCAGCCGGUUCUGCCGGUGUAUUCCCCUCGGUCGGGUCAACAUCAGUUUUGUCCGGUGGAUAAGGGCAGUUGGAAGGUAGCACCUCCGGGUGUGUUAUAGCCUAGCUGUCGCAUACAUUGGAUGAGACUGAGGAAUGCAGCUCGCCUUUAUGGCCGGGGUUCGCC